CCUACGGGAGGCAGCAGUAGGGAAUCUUUCACAAUGGGCGAAAGCCUGAUGGAGCAACGCCGCGUGCAGGAUGAAGGCCUUCGGGUUGUAAACUGCUUUUAUAAGCGAGAAAUAUGAUGGUAACUUAUGAAUAAGGAUCGGCUAACCACGUGCCAGCAGCCGCGGUCAUACGUAGGAGCCGAGCAUUAUCCGGAGUGACUGGGUGUAAAGAGUUGCGUAGGUGGGAUAAUAAGUAGCUAGUGAAAUCUGGUGGCUCAACCAUUCAGACUAUUAGCUAAACUGUUAAGCUCGAGACCGUUAGGGGUAACUGGAAUUUCUAGUGUAGGAGUGAAAUCCGUAGAUAUUAGAAGGAACACCAAUAGCGUAGGCAGGUUGCUGGGACGGUUCUGACACUAAGGCACGAAAGCGUAGGGAGCAAACGGGAUUAGAUACCCCAGUAGUC
rnacentral:rRNA from 1 species